UACGUAGGGGCCUAGCGUUGUCCGGAUUUAUUGGGCGUAAAGAGCUCGUAGGUGGUUUGUCGCGUUGUCCGUGAAAACUCACAACUCAAUUGUGGGCGUGCGGGCGAUACGGGCAGACUGGAGUACUGCAGGGGAGACUGGAAUUCCUGGCGUAGCGGUGGAAUGCGCAGAUAUCAGGAGGAACACCGGUGGCGAAGGCGGGUCUCUGGGCAGUAACUGACGCUGAGGAGCGAAAGCGUGGGGAGCGAACAGG
rnacentral:rRNA from 1 species